UAUAAUUUUUUUAAAGCUCAGUGAAAACUUUAAACGAUUGUAUAAAUUAAAAGUUAUAAUACAUUGGGUCUAUCAUAGUUAUAUAACAGCCUAAACUUAAAUGUCUUACGGUGCGUCAUGUUUCAGCUGUGCUUGAAAGCACAUGCAAUUUGUCACACAGCUUUGAUAGCAACCACAGUCCUUUAUGCUCUUUAACAACAGGACUGCACCAGUCACUCACUUGAAUGAUAAAAGCACUAUAAAAUUUUCUAAGUGUUUAUUCUAAUUUCUGCAUCUGUCUUCUUGUAGACUGGUAGCAACAUGUGGCCUGACACUGCUCAUGGACCAUUGCUUUCUGAAAGGCGCCAUCAUUAGAGGGAGUUUCAGACAGAGGCAAUGACGAGCAGUCAACAUGUGAGAAAGAAUUGACUAAUGCAACAGAGAUGCAACUUACUUUCAUCUGUGAAACUUCUGGUGUUAUUAGAAAGAGUAUAUCCAUGAACAUUAUUAAAGAAUGUUAUUUUACGUGAAGUAUUCAGAAAUAUUCCCUACACUUUGAAUGUUUAAGAAAUAAUACUUACAUUGCCAUUUUCAAAUUAAACUUGUCACAAAAUCUCAAAGCAUAACAGUGAAACAAAGGGAUUGUUUUUCAGAAACAAAGAAGUGUCUUAAAACUACUCAACACAAUUUGAAUCUUUCCUGAAACUUGAUCUACAUAUUUCCCGGCAAUGUAUUUUUACCAACCUUCAAACUAAACUUCUUUGUUAAAUGUAUGACUUGAUGGCGAUGUCGGAUAUGAAACUACUGUAAGUACUUUCCCUUUUAAAUUUCAGUUGUCAAGUCACGUUAUCUAGUUUAUACUUCUCUGAAUUAUAUUCAGUGCUUUCCCAUUCUUUGCUAACACAACAUCUCAUAAAAUCACAUAGGGUAACAUAAUAUGACAGUUAAAUUUAAGAGACCUCUUAUUUUAUUUGAAAUUCAACCAAUGUUCCAAUUUAAUGGCAAUAGAUGAUUAGAGAAGAAAUGACAUCCUCAUUUCAGAGAUAUUUUUACUCCAAUGUAUUUUUAAUGCUCUCAUGUCUUUUAUUAUUUUGACAGGUUUUCAGAAACAGUUUCAGAAGCCCUUGUUUGGGGCCUGAUUUUUUCCAAUGAGAGAUAUUUAAAAGUUUCAUGAGCACACUAUUGUAAUAUAUGAUACUAUUGAAUGAAAACAUUCUUAAAAGGUAAUUUAAAUAUUUACAUUGUUGAUAAAACCUUCUAGUGACAACACCUGCAAAAUAACUAGGAGACAAAUGACUUUCUCUACUCAAUAGCAUGCAAUCUGAACCAGAACUCACCAAUAAUGAUAUUGAAAAAGUUCUGAUGACACAGUGAUGGCACUUACUGAAAAGGGGUCAUGAUAUGUAAGCAUAUGAUAAUAUAUCUGAUAAUUAGAAGCAAAAGACAAAUCAAAUAACAAAAGAUGCAUACACAAGAUCAGAUGUUGAUUUAAAAAAAUAAUAUACUCUUCUUCCUGGACAUUUUAAGUGUCUUAAAAGAUAUGAUCUCUAAAUAAACAAUGCUUUCAUGGGAAAACAAACACACCUUGGUACUUUUCAGGUAGUAUUUUAUACAUUGCAAAUUCUAGAAAUAAAGUGGAUUCACAUGUAUUGCACCACGUGAUCCUCACAAACAUCUGCAACCCCAUUGAUUUCUCCUGUUAAUCAAUGGAAAACAUGAAAAUCUCCAAGAUCAACUGGCUUCUAUAUUCCACAAAAUCAUGUGGCAAAGUCCCAAUGGUGAUUUCAAGUUGCCGCUUUACCACAGGUAAAGUGCUGUCUUUAGUGACAUAUGCUGGUCUGACCCUCUUCUCCAAGCGCAUUAUCCUGGACUCAUGACUAACCAAAACUCCAAGAGGUUUUUGUUUGUUUGCUUGUUUGUUUUAAAUGUUUUCAAUUUAUAGCACUUGUGCUUACAUUUUGUGUGUAGCAGUAAAUGUGUGUAAAUGCAGUACAUACUGUGUAAAUGCAGUAAAAUUUAAUGCAGUAAAAUCUUAAGUACUGAAAAUUUAUAAAGAGAAGCCAUGAACCUCUUUUAGCAGGUGCAGUUGGGCGGAGACAGAUCCUAUAGGGCAAAAGAGCCAUCAGAGCAAUACAGGGCUAAAAUAUUACCUGCUGUUUACAGAACAGCCUCUAAGGAGUUUAAAGCACGUUACAAAUCCAAUUUGACUAAUCCCAGUGAAGGGUGUGGAGCUCUGCAGAGAACUGCAAAUGAUCACUGCCCUCGUUUACCAUCUCCACUACACUGAAGAGGGACUGUGCCUUCUACUCGAGUAUCAUAAAUCUGUGACACAGCUCAGGCUGGUGCAACACGAACGAAAGCUGAGGAAUGAGGCAGAGAAAGACAAUGGAAAGAGGGAAGAAGCUAAAAUUAUUAAAAGAAAAAAACAUUGUUUCCUUGCCUCACUAAAGCCUUCCAAGGUCUGGUCUACCUCGACCACAUGUCUGACACUGCUGCUCCUCACUCUCCAUAUCUGUCGUGUUUAAUAUUUGAAUGUAUUAAAUCAUGGCAGCUGGUCAUUUUAAAGUUUUGCCCACUUUAUCAGGAGACUAACAUCCCAAUAAUGUUCAUAGUUUUAGGGGGACGGCUUCCAAUUCUACCAAGGUUUAUCUUUUUUAGUUUUUCUCUUCAAACUUAAUUGCUUAAGUAGUUCAUAAAUAUAGUAGCCAUCUUUUCAGAAGCACCUCUACAGUGACAGCCACUCUUAAGGUGCGAUUUUCCUCCUUAUACGAUUUACUCCUCAUUACAAACUUACAAGUAUUAGUGUACAAAUAUGAUUGAAUAGUAUUCAACCUCAAAAAAGAAGGAAAUCCUGCCAUAUGCAACAACAUGGAUGGACGUGGAGGACAUCACACUAAGAGAAACAAGCCAGAUACACAAGGACAAAUACUGCAUGAUUCCACGUAUAUGAGGUAUCUAAAAUAAUCAAAUUUGUGGAAGCAAAGAAUAUAAUUGUGGGUUUUAGGGGCUGAGGGAGAGCAGAAAUGAAGAUUUGCUGAUCAAUAUGUAUAGAAUUUCAGUUAUGGGAGAUGAGUAAGUUCUCAUGAGCUACUAUGCAACAUCAUGCCUAUAGAAAACACUUAAAAAUGUGCGAGGGUAGAGCUCAUGUUAAGUGUUAUUACCACAGUAAAAGAAACAUAAAAGGAAAAAUAGACUCCAUGCUCAUUUGAGUUAUGAAGAAGCAGAGAUUCAGAGAUGUCAAAGAAAUGUGCCAGGGUUAUAGAGAUGGUAAGUGGUAAAGCAGAACCCACUGUUAUCAUUCAAGGUUCUCAAGACAAAUAUGAGCAGAAACUACAGAUGGAGAUUAUAAUAUUAUCUAUUAGCUAUAUGAUACAUAAUAUUAUUAUAUAUACAAAAUAUAUAUAUAGAGAGAGACUUGAAGGUGUUGACUUGUGUGAUUUGGGGGUCUGGCAAGUCCUAAAUUCACACUGGAAGACAACUGGCUGGAAACUCGGGUAAAAUUUGAAGUUGCAGCUUGAGUCCUAAAUCUACAUGUCAGAACAUCAGGCUGGAAACUCAGGAAAGGAUGUCUACAUUACAGUUUUGAGGAAGAAUUCCUUCUCUGGAAAACCUCAGUUUUUGCUUUUAAGGUUUUGGACUGAUGGGAUGAGUGAGGUCUACCCACAUUUUUGCAGGUGAUCUCCCCUACUUAAAGUCAAAAGUGACCUUGUAUCUACAAAAUACCUUCACAGCAUCAUCUAGAGAGAACUUGACCAAGCAGCACUGAGCACCAUUUCCUAGCCAGGAAAUGGUUUUAGUUGACACAGAAAAUCAACUGUCUACAAUACCUAAAACCCCAAACCAUGUGCUGAACAGUCACAUGGCAAUGCUUUCAAUAUCUGAAAUUUUUGGAGUUCAAUAUCUUACCUAUAAUUAUGUAAUAUAAGUUGUUGGCAUUCCAAUUACCUAUUUACUUCCAUGCAUUUUUAUUAUGUAGUAAAUAUGUGUGUGUAUGUGUACAUAUAUGGAUACAUAUAUACAUCUAUAUGUAUAUACUAACCAAUUUAGACUGAGACUAAUAGUUGGCCAAUCAGAAUUAACAAAAAAUAAUAAAUAUUUUUUUUAAUGUUAACACAUUUUAAAGCAAAGAAGGUGUAGUUUACAUAAAUUUCAUUAAUUAGCAAUUUAUACUAUUUUGGUGAUUAAUGCUGUGUAAAGUUUUUAUGUUAAAUAAUUCUGUAAAUCAAACCUCUCUACCUAUAUAUUUUUGACCUUUUUAAUAAUCUAUGUGCCAUGUAAGUGGCACCAAUAUUUUCCCUCCUCAGGUUGAUGCACAGAACCACAAAUUAAACUUGAUAUUCACCAUGUGUGGUGUUACAUUAUCUCAGACACUGUGUCCCCUUUGAAAACCACAGUGGAGCAGAGAUGUGCAAAACAGUAGUCUAGCUUGUUAUAGGUAUUCGCUGUUAUUUGGUCAUGUACACUCAUCCAAAAUUUGCUCUGAUUAGUAAGUACCUGUAACUUUUAUUUUGGUACAGCUUCAUUCUGCUAAUCUCCUAAAAUGGAUCAAAUCUAAAUCUAUGGCAGAUAAGAUCACUACAAUUUUUCUUUGUAACCUGAGGGAGAAAAAUACUCUAAUAUUUUUUUUAUAAAACCUCUGCUUGUGGAGACUUUUCUAUAAAAUUAAAUUUAUCAAAAUGUGUUUUCCCCAAAACAAAGUGUGUUGAAAUGUACGAUUUUCAGAUCACAUUUUGUUUAGAUAUUUUAUAAAUAAAUGUCCCUAAGUAAUCUGUAAAGCAGAUUUUGUAUCAGAUUAAUGCUUUAGAAAUGAAUUUGGUGGCAUUCUAAUUAUAAUUAAUACCGUACUUAAUAUAUUACAAUAACUACUUUAAUUCCCUUAAAAACUUGUUAAUAUUUUUAUUAAAAUUGAGAGAAAAAUCUUCAAAGCUGUCAAUAGUCAGAAAGACAUUUGCUACCAUAAGUGACUUCUAUGAUAAUUACAAAAAUGUGGACCUUAAAAUAUUAUGUAAAUUUUAUUAAGUGACAAAGUCACACAGGUUUUGAGAAAUUACACCACAGUUGCUCAUUAACAGGUCUACAUUAAUGUAAAUCUCUUUAAAGAUUUAUUUUCUCAUUGUUUUGAAGAACAGUAACUUUACUGAUAUAUUAAUGACCUAAUUGUGACUAGCUGAUCCCAUUUUCAUUUGAAGGAUCGUUCCCUUGAUCCAUUCAAUAAAUACUGUAUAUGGGAAAACGGAAUUUGGAUUGAUGGGCAAGAAUUGUAAUCAGCACACACAGAUUUAUGGGUUGAGGGAAUAAUGUGAUUAUGCAAAGAAAAAUGAAAAGAUGUUUAUGGGCCAUUGAAGAACAACACAGAGUAUUUGUGUUUAGUAUGUCAUGACUAUGGAAGGUAGCAGGAGGAAUUGUGUGAAAUUCUCAUUGUCUUGUAAGUGUACAGGAGACAGAGUACUAGAAGUCUGUGUGUUGUGCCUUUAUUUUCUUUUGUCAGUGACAGAAUAAGAUGGACUGUUGAAGCAGCAGAAUCUUUGGAAAUUCUCCAGAUUCAUAUUUCUAAACAACAUUAGUCCCCAGCAGUAUGAUUUUUGUAGGAUUACAUUGUUCUAUAAAUCAUUGUCCAGGGGGAUUCAGGAACCAAAAAUUAGUAUUAUCUGACAAUUUCUGAAGCAGAUAAUCACCAAAAUAAUUUGAGUUGAAUAUCCUGACAUCAAACAAAUUAUUUAAAAGUUAAUGGAUGAAGUUGGAAUUGAAAUUGUCUCAACAUGAGAUGUAAUCAUUGUAUAAAAGAAGACAAAAAAUGGCAUAACACAAAGAUGAAUAAAUUUGAGGACUAAUAUAUAUAUUAGUAUACAUAUAUAUUUAGGAUUUAGACAAAUAAAAUCAUCUGUGUAAUUCCACAGUAGACCUUUUCUCCUUUUUCAGCUAGAUUCGAUGUCCCUUGUCUAAAAGUACCCAACAGAGAUGAAUUGGCAUACUAAGAGUUCUGCAGAUAUGAAAAAUGGAUUCAAUUUUUAUAUCAAUUAGCUAAUCAACAGCAAUUAAGAUUGCAAUUAGUGAAGUGCCAACUUCAAAAACUGUAGAGCUUAGGCUCUCUUGGAGUAAACUGACAGUAAAGUAUGUUGCCUCUUCAGAGUUUAUUGGACUUCAUCAAAUUUGCUGAUAUAACCAAACUCACCUGAAUGAACUAUAAAAAUUGAUUAUCUGUGAACACUUUAUCCUGAAAUGUGGAUUUGUGUGUGAUUUUGAAAACUAGGGAGAGUUUGUUGGAAAGUUGAACUUCAUCUUUGCUAGUUGCUUCUUUUUAUUUUUGACAUUUUUAUUGCCCCAAAUGUAAAGCAAACAAAGUUUGCUAAUAUUUUAUUCUGAUUUACAAGCUUCACAAUAGGUUUCAAAAUUGUUUCCUGCUAGAUAGAAUAUUUUAACUAGUAAUUUUUAACUAUUAAAAAAUUGUGCAUUUCCCAUCAAUAACUAGAUGAAAUUUUAUUUCCUAUAAGGAAGUUCAUAUGACUUCAUUACAAGUGAAUCUGAUGUUUUCAGAAUUUCCUUAGAAAAAUGUGUCUGCAUCUUGUCAUCUUAAUUCGUAAUUGUUAGCUCAUUAUAUUGACUCCCUGAGAUAACAGUGACAUGGAAACCUAUCUUUUGCUAGCAUAUAACAUAGGCCAAUUUGAAAACAACUUGAUUCCCAUGUAGCUGAUUUGUACUAGUAAAACGUGUAAACAUAAGGGGUAUGUUAAAUUAGUUUUUCACUUUGAGAUGGGCAUUCAAAUAGACAUAAAAUUAAUACCUGGCACUUCUGUUUUCAUAAUAAUUGACUGUCAAUGGCACUAAUAUUAUUCAAAAUUGGGAAUUCAGUUUGAGUUUAUAGUUCCACUAUUUAAGAAAGUACAUCCCCAAUGGCUAAGAUAGCAAUCUCAGCAGUUAGAGACAGAUGGGGCUAAGUCUUGCUUGUAUUGCCACAUCUUAUAUAGGGUUAACAGGGUUAACAGGGUUGCUUUUUAUGUAGCAGGAGAUCACAAUGCUACCUGGAUCUUAGGGUUGCUGAGAUGAUCAUAUAAAAUGAUAUGUAUCACUUACCAAGCCCACAGUAACUCCUAAAGACUUUUCUCAUGCUUUCUUUCCAACACCCCCUUCCAGCUCACCUUUAUUCCCCAGCCUAGACAUGAUGAAGUAUGAGCUCGUUGGCAAACCAUGUCCUGAACUUGCCCACUUUUUACACCUUUGCUGAGCACCAACCACCACCCAAGUUGCCUUCUCCUAGUUUCCCCUUUUAAAAAACUACCUACUUUUUAGAGCAAUGCUUAGAUGUCCUUAUUUAUGAAAUCUCACCCAAUUUCCCCAGCCUAAUGUUCUGGCUUUCUAUGAAAUUAUGUUGCUUCUUUUUACACAUUUCAUAUUUUUCCUGGGAUUAUAUGAAUUUGUGAGUGUGCAGUUUUAACUUCUUAUAAGUAAACAUGGAUAUACAAAAAACAAAAAUCAAACCAUUAUAAAGUAGUAAUUAUGUUUAUUCGUCUGUAUCUUGUCUUUCUGUCUCCAUCGCUCCACCCAUCAAUCCAUAUUAUCACUAACUUUGCUUUUUAUCAUUCUUCUUUUGCUCAUUUUCUCUCUUACAAGUUUGUUUCCUACAUGUCCAUUAAAUUUCCCCACCUAUAGUCUCUGCACUGGCUAUAGUCUCUAUUGUGGAUUAUAUUUCUCCUAGAUGUUUAACAGACUGAGUC